GUGCUGGGCAUCCAGAGGACUCGGUUCUCCAAUGGGGACCAGCUCCACAUUCCAUGUGGCAUAAACAGGCUUCUGACUUCUUCCAUGGUGACAGUCUCCAAAGGAGCUGAGCUGGGACACAUGGCUUCCUCCAGGACGAAGAGUAGCAGGGGACCCAGAUGUGAUGUGCAGACAUGCCUCCUCCCUCUCCCCUCUCCCUCUCCCUCUGGGGGUGGAGGGAUCCCUAACUUCCAGUCAAGUGUGCAUGCAUGCAUGGAGGGGCCAUCCACCUCACCCUCCUAUCGGCCAGAUAUGCUUCACAACAGGGCCGCUGGACCUGGGCGCCCAAGCAGCUGCAGCGGGGAACGGGUCAGGUGUGUCAGGAGGGGUUUGUGUGUGGGGCUGUGUCACUGUGUGUUAUGUUCGGAAGAGGCACCAGGCUGACCGACAUCGGUCACCCCAAGGCUUCCCCCUUGGUCACUCUGUUUCCGCCCUCCUCUGAGGAGCUCCAAGCCAACAAGGCCACACUAGUGUGUCUGAUCAGUGACUUCUACCCGGGAGCCGUGGAAGUGGCCUGGAAGGCAGAUGGCAGCCCCGUCAACAUGGGAGUGGAGACCACCACACCCUCCAAACAGAGCAACAACAAGUACGCGGCCAGCAGCUACCUGAGCCUGAAGUCCGACCAGUGGAGGUCCCACAACAGCUACAGCUGCCAGGUCACGCACGAAGGGAGCACCGUGGAGAAGACAGUGGGCCGUGCAGAAUGCUCUUAGGCCCCUGACCCUUACCCCAGCCACAGGGGCCUGGAGCUGCAGGAUCCCAGGGGAGGGGUCUCUCUCCCCAUCCCAAGUCAUCCAUCCCUUCUCAAUAAAUAUCCUCAUUGUCAACCAGAAA